UCAGUUGCAGAAUUUAAGAUUUAUUUAAAAUUCUUUUGUUUUCUGAAUACAGGAAGAGAUUUUAAUACACUGCGGCACUGUCUGUCCAAGGGGAAGCAUUGUAUGAUGAGAGAUGUACUGCUGAAGAGAUCUGUGGAUGUUUAUAUUGUUAUCGUCAUUAACACAGACAGCUCUACUCCAGAGGUUCUCAAGUAAAAUUUUGGGGAAGAUAAAGCCACAGAAUACAAGUAUAGAAUCCCUGAGGACGUAGUUUGUG